rnacentral:rRNA from 1 species
GUCCUUAGUUACCAGCACGUUAUGGUGGGCACUCUAAGGAGGACUGCCGGUGGACAAACCGGAGGAAGGUGGGGAGUGACGUCAAGUCAUCAUGGCCCUUACGGCCUGGGCUACACACGUGCUACAAUGGUCGGUCAAAGGGUUGCCAAGCCGCGAGGUGGAGCUAAUCCCAUAAAACCGAUCGUAGUCCGGAUCGCAGUCUGCAACUCGACUGCGUGAAGUCGGAAUCGCUAGUAAUCGUGAAUCAGAAUGUCACGGUGAAUACGUUCCCGGGCCUU